rnacentral:lncRNA from 1 species
UGAACGUAAAAAUUGAUCCUGCUGUUAAAGCUUGAAACUUGGAUCUAUUUUAUCUGAGUUCUCUCCUCAAAAAAAGACCUUCAGGAAGUAUCAGGUAACUGAAACAUACCAGAUCACAGCACCACAUGCCUCCUGCCCCUCCCUGAUUUCUGUUCUCUUAUACAUUGUUACAUUUCUUUCCUGCCCCUAUUAUCAAGCCAUGGAUUUGGGACUGAGCUCCCAGCUCCUGGGCUGCAGCACCAGGUUAAAGCUUUCUUCCUUGGCAGUACUUGUCACCUCAGUGACUGGCUUUUUCUCCGAUAAGCAGGAGGACUUAGACAAAACCCCUGGUGUUUGGUCAAGGAACUUAAUGCUCCCUAAAUCCAGAUAUUAAGGUUAAAAGAAGAGAAAGGAAAUGUGUGCAGAGAAAGUAUAUUUUACAAAUGAAUUAAAGAUUGAUUCCUAGAUACAGGUUUAUAGAUUUACCUAGAAUUUUGUGUUCAGGAAGCCAUCAUUCUUUAGAGGGCAAUGACCGAACAGUACCAGCAGAAGUUGAAGUACCAGCAGAAGGCUAAGAAGGGAUCAUGGCACAAGUUGCAGUUUCCACCCUGCCCAUUGAAGAUGAGUCCAUGGAAGAUGAGGAGUCCGUUGAAGAUGAGGAGUCUGUUGAAGAUGAGUCCAUGGAGAGCAGGAUGGUGGUGACACUGCUCAUAUAGCUCUCGAGUCCACA